UACGGGGGGGGGCAAGCGUUGUUCGGAAUUACUGGGCGUAAAGGGCUCGUAGGCGGCCAACUAAGUCCGACGUGAAAUCCCAAGGCUUAACCUUGGAACUGCGUCGGAUACUGGAUGGCUUGAAUUCGGGAGAGGGAUGCAGAAUUCCAGGUGUAGCGGUGAAAUGCGUAGAUAUCUGGAGGAAUACCGGUGGCGAAGGCGGCAUCCUGGACCGACAUUGACGCUGAUGAGCGAAAGCUAGGGGAGCAAACAGG
rnacentral:rRNA from 1 species